rnacentral:rRNA from 1 species
GACGAACGCUGGCGGCGUGCUUAACACAUGCAAGUCGAACGCUGAAGCACCAGCUUGCUGGUGUGGAUGAGUGGCGAACGGGUGAGUAAUACGUGAGUAACCUGCCCUUGACUCUGGGAUAAGCCCGGGAAACUGGGUCUAAUACUGGAUGCUACAUGUCACCGCAUGGUGGUGUGUGGAAAGGGUUUACUGGUCUUGGAUGGGCUCACGGCCUAUCAGCUUGUUGGUGAGGUAAUGGCUCACCAAGGCGACGACGGGUAGCCGGCCUGAGAGGGUGACCGGCCACACUGGGACUGAGACACGGCCCAGACUCCUACGGGAGGCAGCAGUGGGGAAUAUUGCACAAUGGGCGAAAGCCUGAUGCAACGACGCCGCGUGAGGGAUGACGGCCUUCGGGUUGUAAACCUCUUUCAGCAGGGAAGAAGCCACAAGUGACGGUACCUGCAGAAGAAGCGCCGGCUAACUACGUG